AUUUUAAUAAUCGAUAUGAACAAUGCCAGUUAAUAGUCAAUUAUUUGAAUAAUUUUGGUCUGAUAAUAAUGAGGUAGGAUUUGGAGAGACAAAAGAAGAAGCAGCAGACAUCAAUGAAUCCAAGGCAAUGUUCCAAGUGAAUGCACUCAGAAUUCUCUGGAGCUUAUAGUUAUCGUGAAAACAAUGAAGCCAAAUGUAUGUAGUUCAAAGCAACGAUGCAGGGAAAGUCAUUUGGAUGAACAACAGAAAUGUUGUCUUCAAAGUUAACGAAAUGUCGAGAGUGGAGGGUAGAGAAGAUGAUUUAAAUUCAAUCUGCCAACCGAGACAAAUUCGGACUAACAGUGUGGCACUUCCGGCAUGUGGUUCUAUGCUACUGGUCAACGGAAAUCAACGUCAACCACCAUUACCACGUCGUCAUUCUGAAACUCCAGCAAGAGCACCUCCACCAAUUCCUAUACGAAAGAGAAAUGAAAAGCCGAUUUUCCUCACUGGAGAUUAUUGCCGACGUGAUGAAAGAAAACUUAGCUUAGAUGAUAACAUAAAGAAUCAAUCUUCUGAAUCCAAUCAAACAAUAUGGAGACAAGAAAUCAACGACAAUGAAAAACUCAUUGACCUUGAAUCAACAAGAAGUAUUGAAUGUAAUUUCAAGGCAAGCAAGAACCUUGUAGAAAAUGCUGAUGGGUGUGAUUUUGAUGUGUCAAAUUAUGGGGAGAAUGGUGGGGAUUUUGGAAAGACUACUGAGGGAUCUUUCAAGUCAAGCUUUGAAGAGCUCCAGAAAGCCGCUCGUAAUUUCGAUAAGAGGCUUCAGGAGGAGAUUAUCAGAGGUGUGGAGAUUGGCCGGGUUGUCGGAUCACAAGAGGGUCAAAGACAAAGAGAUCGAUUUAAUCCACAAUCGAGACUGCAAGCUAAAUUUGAGCACGAUCAAGAAGCUCAUCAUGAUGCCGAGAAAAGAUCCAAGUUUAAAGCACUGCUCGCAGCAUCCCGAAAUCUAGAAAAACAUCUUCAAGGUGAGAGGGAACUUCAGCAGCAAACAAGAGGAAAGUACAACUUAGACAUGGAGAAAGCGAGAAAUAUGUUACAGAAUAACUUAAGAAAGGACCGUGUGGUGGUAGAGAGAUUAGAGAAGCUGCCUAAAGCAACGCAAACGAAUUUACCACCGCCUUUGAGCUCUAUUUGCCAAAAUCCUGUAUCCAACAAACCAGCCAGUGUCAGACAAGACAGUAAUGUAUCGUCAGACAGUUUUAGUCAGACUAGUUCACCCAGCUAUACCAGCAAAACCAUGGAAGCACCUCUUUUACCUCAUAAACACAUUUUUAGUAAAAUUCCAGGAAAGAUCUCAGAAAAAGAAAAUUCUCCAGGAAGUCCAAUAACGAAGUCAAUGAGUACACCAGCAAGUCUUCAAACGAUUGUCAGGUUUCACAGUGGCAGCAACAUGUCGUUACAUCACAGGAUCAUUCGAGACAUGAGGAGACCGAGCGGUCAUUAUGUAUUUGGCGAGAGAUUUCGAUUCAGAUUUGUUCAAGUACUUGUCAACGCUCUAGCACUUCUUGCCAUUACUGCAGGCUUUUUAUUCUACUUUAAAACCAAUCCAGAAAUAGCUAACGUAAAGUCAAAUAAUUUAACUACUGAAAAACCAAUUGCUGUUACUGUACCAUGGUCACCAUAUUUAUCAGAAUCCAAAAAUCCUGCUCCAGGAGUUUGUCUACCUGUAAUAGUCAGUUUCUGUCUCACUCAUCAGGUUCCAUAUAAUUUUACCGUAUUUCCAAACUACAUGGGCAACUUUCGGCAACGUGACGCACAACAUGAGCUUGAAAAUUAUGAGGCAGUUGUAGACGUCAGAUGUUACGAACUUGCAGCUUUAUUUCUUUGCAAUGUUUUCGUUCCAAAAUGUGGUUCCAGAGGUCAAGUGGUUCAUCCUUGUCGAAGUUUGUGCUAUGAAAUGACAAGAAGAUGUGGAUUUUUUCUGACAGUUUUUAGUUUAAAACUUCCUGAUUUUCUUUCUUGCGAAAAUUUCCCUGAAACCGCUGAUUCAGAUGUCUGUGUAGGCCAUCAUGAAGUAAUUGAAGCAGCAAAUCGUGCUGCUAACCCAGUUUGCAUCAGUGGCUUUCAAUGCGACAGCACCAGAUGCAUUCCGGUCGAUUGGAAGUGCGACGGGCACGUGGAUUGCGCCGAUCAAACUGACGAGAUUGGAUGCGGGGAUUGCGCGUUGACUUCCACAUCCCAACUAUCUUCCAUUAACGCUAAAAGCAAAAACUUAAGCAUUCAAGAUGUUAUUGACAAGCCAACACUUCAUUGUGGAGAAAGAAGAUGUAUGUCAACUAUUCAUGUAUGUGACGGAGUCAUGGAUUGUCCUUGGGGUCAAGACGAGCGAAAUUGCCUUCGACUAAGUGAAAGCAAUGGAGAUAUUGGUAAAGGACGUCUUCAAGUUUUCAACUCUCAGAACUCAACAUACAUUCCUGCCUGCAUUUCAUAUUGGAAGCCAACACUGAGCCAAGCAAUUUGCAAUCUCUUAGGUUACUCGACGGUGGAUUUUUCGGUUCUUUUGAUGAAGAAUGACAAUAGCACUCUUAGUGAGCCUUUUAUGGACACUUCUCAACGGUGGAGACUUGCUCAGAAAAGCGAGAAAAAUCUUCUAAAAGAAUUACAAUCAUGCACUCAUGAAGAUGACUACGCGACUAUUGAACUGAAGUGUUCUGAGUUUGAGUGUGGCAGACGUCGUUAUCACUACGGGAAUGCAAAGGUACAAAAACGAAUAAUUGGUGGAGUAGAAUCAGUCCCAGGAGAUUGGCCUUUUCUGGCAGCACUCCUUGGUGGUCCUGAAGAAGUUUUUUAUUGUGCUGGAGUUCUCAUUUCCGAUCAAUGGGUUCUUACUGCUUCUCAUUGUGUUGGGAAUUUCAGCUAUUCCAUAUUGUCUGAUUGGACAAUUCAGUUGGGUAUCACCAGACGACAUUCUCACAGUUAUUUUGGAGAAAAGUUAAAAGUGAAGAGAGUCAUACCUCAUCCUAGUUACAAUUUGGGGGUUGUUCAUGACAAUGACGUGGCUCUUUUCCAGUUGAAAGAGCGAGUUAACUUUCAUGAACAUUUGAGACCUGUUUGUUUGCCAAAAGCAAGCAUGGAGUUGGCUCCAGGGACUAUUUGUACUGUUAUUGGCUGGGGGAAAAAAGAAGAUACUGAUGCUUCAAAAUAUGAACCAGCAGUGAAUGAAGUUGAGGUACCUGUUUUAAAACGAGAACUUUGUAAUGCUUGGCUUGAACAUAAAGAAUUGAAUGUUACCGAUGGGAUGAUCUGUGCCGGAUAUCCAGAAGGCAAAAAAGAUGCUUGUCAGGGCGACUCCGGUGGCCCACUUUUAUGUCGAGAUGAGAACGAUAAGGAUCGCUGGUUUGUUGGUGGAAUUGUUAGUUGGGGUAUAAAAUGUGCUCAUCCUAAAUUACCUGGAGUGUAUGCAUAUGUACCGAAAUAUGUUCCCUGGAUUUACGCACAAAUGUCGAAGUAUUCUGAUAGUAGGACGGACUAAUUUCAAUAAUGCUGCUGAACUAAAAGAGAAGAAAGAAGAAGACAAAUGGGUAUAGAAGACAAUAAAAUGAACAUAAAAGUUAAAUGAUGUAAUAGAAUAUUAACAAAGUGAUACUGCCCUUUCGAGAAAUCAAUUGAGUUUCUUUGAAGUAAAAAAAUACAAGCUUAUCUAAAACAAGACAACAUGUUUGUGAACGAGAUAAUAAAACUCAAUUACUCAUUUUUAUAAGUAAUACGCUACAAAUGUGUAGGUCAAAUAGAUAUUACGAGAUGAAAGAAAUCAAAAGGAUUUAAAGAUAAAUAUAUUUAUUUAGUGAACAAUACAAUAUAUUGUUUAUAUUUCAUUGAAAUUUGUUUUUAACCAAUAAACUGGAUUUUGUGUUGAUGUAUCAAUACAAUGUGUUAACGGUUGUGUUUGGUUCCAUGAUAAUUUGACUACUUUUGAUGUUUUUAUGAAUAGAUACUUGUAUUCUAAUUGAAUAUUGAAUUCAUAUACGAUUAAGAGUUUGUUUUUGACGCGCUGUUGCAACAAGAGGAUGAAAAAAUAUUGAAACAUAUUAAAAAUAAAAUUAAAUGGAAAAAUAUGAUGAAUGCUGAUAACAGAUAAAUAAUAAUAAAUAUUUAAAUA
rnacentral:misc_RNA from 1 species